ACAAAUGGAGGAUAACAACAUUACGCUGCAUGUUGCUGCAAAGGGAUUUUAUGUGUUUAAUAAGUGACCGGAAGUUGUGUUAAAGUGUCGUGUGUGACUUGACGGUGGCGGACUGAGCCGCCAGCACUGACCGGGAGGAGACACCGUCAACACGCUGAGCUCGGAGCAGGCCUGUCGGACACGGUGCCAGUCAGCAGCAGCAUCCCUGUCCGCACUGUGUAAGGGUGUCCUCCAUUAUGAACCCUGUGUACGGUCCUGUCCAGCCUGCGACUCCCUAUGGCAACCAUAAGAACCUGACAUACACAGGCUACCCCACAGGUUAUCCUACUGCCGCAGCUCCGACCUACACGCCAGGUUUAUAUCAGACCGGCAGCCCGGGCUAUCCCCCAGUGCUGCUGAUGAAGCAGGGCUGGGCCCAACCGUCGAUGGAGAUGGCGGGGGCCCAAGAGGCCUCCUAUGACCCGGCCAUGGACGCCGGUUCAGAGGGCCGACAGUACCAGGCCUCCGCCGCAACACUCAGAUAUACAACCGGGACCCCUUACAAGGUCCCACCCACACAGACCAAUGGGGCCCCGCCACCCUACUCCCCAUCUACUACCCCCUACCCCGCUGCCAUGUACCCCAUCAGGAGUGUUUACCCUCAGCAGAACCUCUACACUCAGGGUGCGUACUACACUCAGCCGGUGUACGCGGCGCAGCCUCACGUCAUCCACCACACCACGGUGGUGCAGCCCAACAGCAUCCCCUCUGCCCUGUACCCGGCCCCGGUGCCGGCGGCGGGGACCCGGCCCAGCGCCGUGGCCCUGGGCAUGGUGACCGGGACCACCAUGGCCAUGUCGGCUGGCACCCUGCUGACCGCACCACAGCACAGCCAGCACCUUGGAGGGCCUGCAGGGGGCGUACCGACGUACCGGCACCAGGCCAGCCCAGGCUACAGCUACAUGCCGUCACACUGGUAGAGGCAGCCUCGUGUCUGGAGUCCAACAUCUGUCCAGUCUCACCCCGGUCACGUUCCCAUGGGGAGGAAAGACCAAGAACAAACUAAAUCGCAAGGGCCAGUUAAUGCAUUCUUUGUUUCGGAAAUGCUGUUUUUUUCCCUGAGAUUUGAGCUUUUCAUUUGGACUGUUGUGUUAAUCUUUUAUUUUUUACCGUCUAAUCCAGACGUAAUUGCCAAUCCGUAUGGUACAUCUCUUGUAUAGCUUGGCUUUUUACCAUUUUAUGCGUAAGUGUAUAUUUUUUAUUUUUGAAGAUCAUGUGGACCUGAUGCUGCGGUUCCUUCAGCAGUGAGAAUGUACAUGACUUUUUAUGCUGCUGAUUUUUUUUUUUUAAUAUAAUAUUUUCAGAUUUGGGGCUUUAUUUUGUUUCAUUUUGAUGAGGAAAUUGGUUCUUUUCCAGUCAUCUGAUGGGACACAAACAAACGGUGGAAGUGUCAAACGCUGUUUUCCCUCAUUCUGUCGGUUGGCCUCUUUGAUUUCUGGCAUUGUGUUCAAGCAACAGUUGGGCUCGAGGUUGUCUUCCAGCGUGUAGCAGUGCGUUAACUUGUGAAAAAUGGAGUGUGUGCUUGAUGGAAAAGUACCUGAGCUGAUGUGGUGAAGCUCCACAAGCAGAAUAUUACAAACCAGCUGCCUAACCAAGCAGAGGAAACCCAGUGGAAUAUCAGUGAAGGCCUAACAACCUUAGACAUGCACUAGAACAUAGCAGGCUAUUAGAUAAAUACUGUAUGUUAUAUGUAUGCUGGUGGAUUAAAGGGAUUAUUCACCCAUUUUGAAAAGUUUGAUAUUUCACCUCCCCCCUGCAAGCUUAUGUUCUGUAGGACAGUCGUGCUGCUGUCUUCCUUUCAUUGUUACUGAGUGCUGGAUACUGGCUGGAUGCUCCACAAGCUAACGGUUAGCCUCCUGCCAUUCAGUUGGACUUCCCCCCAGCUAACACUCUUAAAGGUAGCAGCUUAAAUCCACUCAAAGAGGGUUUAAAAUCACUUUAAAGCUGUUGCUUUCCGAAACAAAAAUGCACAAUCUGUCUACUAGGCGCAUACCGACGACGGUUUGGCUUGAAUUAUUGUUUAUAACUUUAUUUGUCCUGUUAUCAACCACUGGAAAUAUCAGAUAACUUGUGCACUUCCUGUAUCACUCUGCACCAGAGGAGCAGCAGCCACCAUGGAGACAGAAGCAGAUUGCUUGAGUUUGCUAUUUUUUGUUUUAUUCAUUGAACACAUGUAUGCAUGUUGCAGGACAAAAACUGUACUAAAAGACUGCUGGCAUGUAAUGUUGUGGCUGGCUUCCUCUUCUUCCACCUGCUCGACUGCACAAAAGAUAAGUUAGCACCUCUACUGUCCUACUGUCCUACAGAACAGCCAGGAGGUAUUAUAUGUAGGACACUUUUCAAGAUGGGUGAGCUGUCCCUUUUAAUGAGCAAGUUAAAGAGGCGUUUUCUCCAGAAGAUACGCCCCUCGCGGUGUACAGAUGCAGCGGUCAUGCAUAUUCAGUCCAGCUCUUGGAGAACAUGUUGAUUUUUGACAGCACAAGAGCGUUAGAGCACACACAGUCAGCCGGUUUGGGAUGUGACUGAGAUUUCCAAUGGGACGGUUAACCUCCAAAUAUAAAGAGUGAAUUGGAAUAUAAGGCAAACACGCUGUGAAGUAAGAGACACACGAGGAGCUGUGAGAGGAAAAUAACGGGGGAAACAUGAAGGUUAGUCCACACUUUGUACUGACCUCCAAGUGUCCGCUGUAACAUUCAGGCUGGAAAUGAGCGCCACACGGCCAGGCGACUGCACGACAACAAGCGCUGUUUGGGAUUCAGAGCCAAAGGUCCUGCAACAACAAUGGAUAUGAUCCAUUAAGACUGACUUGCUUGUUGAUGUCAUUCCGUCAGUGCUUCAGAUUAUGGCCAGCAGCAGCUCACACACCUCCAUUUUCACAGUAUAAGUGAGUAAGACAGCUAAUUAGAGCAAAGUUCAGAUAAGCAGCCUUGUUUCCAGAUGCCAUGAAUUCCCACUCCGGCUCAUUGUUCCCCUUAUGAAAAAAGUCACAUGUGAAAUCAGAUGUGAAAUAAACCACAUGUGGUUUUGGAACACGUGAUCUUACAACCACAUGUGAUUUAAUUUUCUCACGUGAUUUUCAUGUUGUUUUUUUCCACAUGUCACUAUUUCACAUGUGAAAAAGCAACAUGAGAAACACAUGUGUUCCAAAGCCACAUGUGAUUUUAUGAUGCCUUCACAUGUGGAAAGUCUCCUUCAGAUGCCAGUCACAUGUGAAAAUGG